GCAGCCAGCAGUGCUUGAGUCUUCAGUCAGAAGAUGAGGGCCAGCUUGGCACUUGUAGGGGUGUACAGCAGGAGCCUCCAGCUUCAGCUAUACACAUGGGUGUGUAAAAUCCUGAUGGUUCCAGAUGUUUCUCUUCAACUCAAAUAGGGAUACUGGUGAUGAGGGCCCUUCAUCUUCACCUGCACAUCAGGAUGUUUCAGCGAAGAGCAGCAGAUCCCACUCAGCCUCAUUUAAAGAUUUUCCCAAAAAUCAUCCAAUUAAUUCAUUGUGGUAUAAUCUGUAUCCAUGGCUUGAAUACCCACAAAUGAAAGAUUCAGCCUACUGCUAUGUAUGGUGACAUUUCUCCCUGCCUAAUGUGUCAGUAUCAGUUUUCACA